UGCAGCAUGCGAAGGUUCUCCAUGUAGC
rnacentral:sRNA from 1 species